rnacentral:rRNA from 1 species
AAAACUUUCAACAACGGAUCUCUUGGUUCUGGCAUCGAUGAAGAACGCAGCGAAAUGCGAUACGUAAUGUGAAUUGCAGAUUUCAGUGAAUCAUCGAAUCUUUGAACGCACAUUGCGCCCGCCAGUAUUCUGGCGGGCAUGCCUGUUCGAGCGUCAUUU